GCGAGAUAGCUCAGAUGGCUAGAGCGUUGGAUUCAUAACCCAAAGGUCAGGAGUUCGAUUCUCCUUCUCGC
rnacentral:tRNA from 1 species